GACGAACGCUGGCGGCGUGCUUAACACAUGCAAGUCGAACGGAAAGGCCCUGCUUUUGUGGGGUGCUCGAGUGGCGAACGGGUGAGUAACACGUGAGUAACCUGCCCUUGACUUUGGGAUAACUUCAGGAAACUGGGGCUAAUACCGGAUAGGAGCUCCUGCUGCAUUGUGGGGGUUGGAAAGUUUCGGCGGUUGGGGAUGGACUCGCGGCUUACCAGCUUGUUGGUGGGGUAGUGGCUUACCAAGGCUUUGACGGGUAGCCGGCCUGAGAGGGUGACCGGCCACAUGGGGACUGAGAUACGGACCAGACUCCUACGGGAGGCAGCAGUGGGGAAUAUUGCACAAUGGGAGGAAGCCUGAUGCAGCAACGCCGCGUGCGGGAUGACGGCCUUCGGGUUGUAAACCGCUUUCGCCUGUGACGAAGCGUGAGUGACGGUAAUGGGUAAAGAAGCACCGGCUAACUACGUG
rnacentral:rRNA from 1 species